UAGUGCAUCCUCAAAGCUCAUAGCUAC
rnacentral:piRNA from 1 species